rnacentral:rRNA from 1 species
UGGGGAAUAUUGCGCAAUGGGGGCAACCCUGACGCAGCCAUGCCGCGUGAAUGAAGAAGGCCUUCGGGUUGUAAAGUUCUUUCGGUGACGAGGAAGGCGUGAUGUUUUAUAGGCAUCACGAUUGACGUUAAUCACAGAAGAAGCACCGGCUAACUCCGUGCCAGCAGCCGCGGUAAUACGGAGGGUGCGAGCGUUAAUUGGAAUAACUGGGCGUAAAGGGCACGCAGGCGGCUAUUUAAAUGAGGUGUGAAAUCCCCGGGCUUAACCUGGGAAUUGCAUUUCAGACUGGGUAGCUAGAGUACUUUAGGGAGGGGUAGAAUUCCACGUGUAGCGGUGAAAUGCGUAGAGAUGUGGAGGAAUACCGAAGGCGAAGGCAGCCCCUUGGGAAUGUACUGACGCUCAUGUGCGAAAGCGUGGGGAGCAAACAGGAUUAGAUACCCUGGUAGUCCCCGCUGUAAACGCUGUCGAUUUGGGGAUUGGGCCUUGAGCUUGGUGCCCGAAGCUAACGUGAUAAAUCGACCGCCUGGGGAGUACGGCCGCAAGGUUAA